rnacentral:rRNA from 1 species
UACGUAGGGUGCAAGCGUUGUCCGGAAUUAUUGGGCGUAAAGAGCUCGUAGGCGGUUUGUUGCGUCAGCUGUGAAAACCCGCAGCUCAACUGUGGGCUUGCAGCUGAUACGGGCAGGCUUGAGUGCGGUAGGGGAGACUGGAAUUCCUGGUGUAGCGGUGAAAUGCGCAGAUAUCAGGAGGAACACCGGUGGCGAAGGCGGGUCUCUGGGCCGAAUGACGUGCUGAGGAGCGAAAGCGUGGGGAGCGAACAGG